GUAGGGGGCAAGCGUUAUCCGGAUUUACUGGGUGUAAAGGGAGCGCAGACGGCCAAGCAAGUCUGAAGUGAAAUGCAUGGGCUCAACCCAUGAAUUGCUUUGGAAACUGUUAGGCUUGAGUGUCGGAGAGGUAAGCGGAAUUCCUAGUGUAGCGGUGAAAUGCGUAGAUAUUAGGAGGAACACCGGAGGCGAAGGCGGCUUACUGGACGACAACUGACGUUGAGGCUCGAAGGCGUGGGGAGCAAACAGGAUUAGAUACCCUGGUAGUCAAGGGCG
rnacentral:rRNA from 1 species